UAACCUCAGUCACCUGGAGUGUCCUGCCUAAUUUGGAGAUUCCUACGACAGGCAUCCAAGAAGUGACAUUUGCCUGCUAUCCCAUAUGGAUUUAAUUCAUUGUUAUUUUAUACAACUUAGUGCUUACUCUCUGCAGAUUGUAAGCCCUCUAGACCACCAACUGCCACGAAUAAGAUGGCCUCCAGCUUUGGAAAAAUGGCUCCAAAAACCUUUUGAGUGGGCAAGAAAAAUGUUUUCCAAAAUAUUGCCAAAGGUUACAAGAUGUUGGUAUUUUGGUGUUUUUUUCCAAGAUAAACUCAUCGAUAACCUUCCCACAUGACAUUUCACAACUACACCUCAUACUCAGGCUUCUGGGAGCACUUGGCGGAGGGACUCGUUCAUUUGCAAGUACAACUGAUGUCAAUUGGUUGUUCCAGUGAGCAGGGCAGGCUGCCAGCUCCUUCUGCAACAAACUGAUUUUAAUGCCAUUAGAUUCACAUUUCUGCUGCAGUGCAUUAAGUACUUUAUUGCUGAAAUAUGCACAAUGGCACUAAUGAUGGAUUUACUGUUCCCCUGAGGUGUGCAGAUCUGGAAGAGCUAAUUGAGCGUGAACCAUGGGAGAUUAUUUCCAAAAACAGACUUGAGUGAGGAGUUAACCUUAUGAGCCAUCUCUUCCUUGUGGAUGCAUGAUUCCUUGUACUUGUAACUCAAGACUAUGUACACAUCUUCAUGCUAUCUACUCUUAUAGUACUGAGGACUCUGUGGCUGCUAGUAUCACGGGGAAUGAAAGUAUUGCGAAAGCGUUGCCCCUUCAUGUUGUUCCAAAAUAAUGUUCCGAAAUCUAACGCAAGGGCAAGUUCAGUUGUGUCUCGUGGUUUUGAAGAGUCUGCAGAGAGGUUUUGAUCUCCACUAUAUGAAUUAGUAAAGUUCCCUGUAAAUAAACAGCUCUUUGAAGACAA